UACAGAGGUCCCAAGCGUUGUUCGGAUUCACUGGGCGUAAAGGGUGCGUAGGCGGUCGGGUAAGUCUGAUGUGAAAUCUCACAGCUUAACUGUGAAACUGCAUUGGAUACUAUCCGGCUCGAGGAAUGGAGGGGAGACUGGAAUACUUGGUGUAGCAGUGAAAUGCGUAGAUAUCAAGUGGAGCACCAGUGGCGAAGGCGAGUCUCUAGACAUUUCCUGACGCUGAGGCACGAAAGCCAGGGGAGCAAACGGG
rnacentral:rRNA from 1 species